AUUGAACGCUGGCGGCAGGCCUAACACAUGCAAGUCGAACGAGUGGCGGACGGGUGAGUAAUGUCUGUGAAACUGCCUGAUGGAGGGGGAUAACAACUGGAAACGUUAGCUAAUACCGCAUACCAUCGGAUGUGCCCAGAUGGGGAGAGCUAGUAGGUGGGGUAAAGGCUCACCUAGGCGACGAUCCCUAGCUGGUCUGAGAGGAUGACCAGCCACACUGGAACGGAGAGACGGUACAGACUCCUACGGUAGGAGGCAGUGGGGAAUAUUGCACAAUGGGCGCAAGCCGGAUGCAGCCAUGCCGCGGGGAUGAAGAAGGCCUUCGGGUUGUAAAGUACGUUCAGCGGGGAGGCGUUACCCGCAGAAGAAGCACCGGCUAACUCCGUGCCAGCAGCCGCGGUAAUAC
rnacentral:rRNA from 1 species